rnacentral:tRNA from 1 species
GCUAGGUUAGCUCAGGGGUAGAGCGCUGGUCUGUGGAACCAGAGGUCGCGGGUUCGAAACCCGCACCUAGUG